rnacentral:rRNA from 1 species
GACAUAGGUUGCGAACGUUAUCCGGAAUUAUUGGGCGUAAAGGAUGCGUAGAUGGCAUGACAAGUUAUCAGUGGGAAAUCGGGGCUCAACCUCGUGGAAGUUGGUAGUACUAUUAUGCUUGAGUGCAGGAGGGGUUAACGGAACUCCAUGUGGAGCGGUAAAAUGUGACGAUAUAUGGAAGAACACCGAUAAGGCGAAGGCAGUUAACUAUUCUGUUACUGACAUUGAGGCAUGAAAGCGUGGGGAGCAAAACGG